rnacentral:lncRNA from 1 species
GUAGUUACUCCAAUUAUCGGACCAUAAUCAUGGAGUUAGUAAGCAGUUUAUGCUUACUAAUGAUUGUGGCAUAUAGUUAUUACCCAUAAUUGUAGUAUCUUGAUUAUAGAUUUGACAAUCAGUCAUUUGACAGUCGGUCGUUUGACAGUUGGCAGUCGGCUGUUUGAUAGUCGGCUAUUUGGCAAUCGGUCGUUUAACAUGAAGAUGGUCAGUCGGCCAUGAGCUGGUCAGUCGGCC